rnacentral:rRNA from 1 species
GACGGGUGAGUAACGCGUCGGAACGUGCCUUCUGGUCUGGAAUAACCGUGGGAAACAAAGGCUAAUACCGGAUACGCCCUUUUGGGGAAAGGUUUACUGCCGGAAGAUCGGCCCGCGUCUGAUUAGCUAGUUGGUGGGGUAACGGCCUACCAAGGCGACGAUCAGUAGCUGGUCUGAGAGGAUGAUCAGCCACACUGGGACUGAGACACGGCCCAAACUCCUACGGGAGGCAGCAGUGGGGAAUCUUGCGCAAUGGGCGAGAGGCUGACGCAGCCAUGCCGCGUGGAUGAUGAAGGUCUUAGGAUUGUAAAAUCCUUUCAGCGGGGACGAUAAUGACGGUACCCGCAGAAGAAGCCCCGGCUAACUUCGUGCCAGCAGCCGCGGUAAU